UCUGGGAUGUUGUGUGAUCGAAUGAUUGAAUUACACGGUAACUCACCACGGAAGGAUAAUUUUAAUAUUUUCAUCAAAUUUCAAAUCUUUCGAAUAGUUAUGACACAUUGCUAGAUAUCAAUGUAGACUUGUGGACUUGUUAGAAUUAAAAAAGUUUAAUUUAAGAAUCAAUUAGGAAGAGUCCUAGUUGAUUGGAACUCUUGAGCUGACCUAAUCCAAUCGG
rnacentral:lncRNA from 1 species